GCGCACGCCCUGGGUAAUGGGGGAAACGUUUCGGAACGGACGCUAAUACCGCAUACGUCCUACGGGAGAAAGCAUGGGGACCUUCGGGCCUUGCGCUAUCAGAUGAGCCUAGGUCGGAUUAGCUAGUUGGUGAGGUAAUGGCUCACCAAGGCUACGAUCCGUAACUGGUCUGAGAGGAUGAUCAGUCACACUGGAACUGAGACACGGUCCAGACUCCUACGGGAGGCAGCAGUGGGGAAUAUUGGACAAUGGGGGAAACCCUGAUCCAGCCAUGCCGCGUGUGUGAAGAAGGCCUUUUGGUUGUAAAGCACUUUAAGCAGUGAAGAAGACUCCAUGGUUAAUACCCAUGGACGAUGACAUUAGCUGCAGAAUAAGCACCGGCUAACUCUGUGCCAGCAGCCGCGGUAAUACAGAGGGUGCAAGCGUUAAUCGGAAUUACUGGGCGUAAAGGGAGCGUAGGUGGCUCUAUAAGUCAGAUGUGAAAAUCCCCGGGCUUUAACCUGGGAACUGCAUCUGAAACUGUAGAGCUAGAGUAUGUGAGAGGAAGGUAGAAUUCCGGUGUU
rnacentral:rRNA from 1 species